ensembl:misc_RNA
GUGACAGCUACGGAGACUGAAGUCUUUAUUUAUCCACAGACAAGCACAGCAUGAAUGGCAGUAGUGCACGCUGCUGCAGUGAUGUGCUUCAGAACCUGACCAAGAAGGUAAAUUGGCAGAUUCCACAAUCAUUCAGUUUUUGGUCUCU